GACGAACGCUGGCGGCGUGCCUAAUACAUGCAAGUAGAACGCUGAAGAGAGGAGCUUGCUCUUCUUGGAUGAGUUGCGAACGGGUGAGUAACGCGUAGGUAACCUGCCUUGUAGCGGGGGAUAACUAUUGGAAACGAUAGCUAAUACCGCAAUAACAAUGGAUGACACAAUGUCAUUUUAGUUUGAAAAGGGGCAAUUGUUCCACUACAAGAUGGACCUGCGUUGAUUAGGCCUAGUAGGUCGAGGUAAUGGCUCGCCUAGGCGACGAUACAUAGCCGACCUGAGAGGGUGAUCGGCCACAC
rnacentral:rRNA from 1 species